GGUUCCAUAUAGCGAUUGCGACUAAUAAUGUAACUCCCUGAACUGGGUUAAUCCCUUCCAGUUCCACAGUCCAGCAGAGCCUGAUCCAGUGACACUUGUGCCGGUCUUGCGCAAAACACCAGGCCAGGCGAAUCGAAGGGGCCCGGAUCACCCAACUUUUCUGACGAGGAAUUUGUAGGUGAUGCAAGGAGAACACUUUGUCUCUGCAGAAGGAAAGGUCUGUUCUGAGGCUGCGGGCCAACCUGCAGUCUCUCGCCUUAGCAGUGACGCACGUUGUGCUAGCAAAACAGUAACCAGCCUGGCUUCCUGAUUCCUGACCCAUUUCCCUCAAAGAUCCGAAGGGCUCUGGCUGCUCCUUGACACAUCUUCACUGACUGGGGGUUAAUGGCAGAGCAUGGAAGUUGUCUGCUCAUUCAGGGAGGGAGGAAGAAGUCACCUGUUGACUGCUGAGGCCAUCCCUUGACGCACAUCAUGGUUAAAUGUUAGCUUGGCGUCGCUUUCAAGGAGAGAGGGCACCGCUGGUUUCAGCGGCAUCAUUUGGGCAGUUAAACAGAAACCAGCACAGAAUUAAAGAUUACAGAGCUGCUGAAAA